rnacentral:lncRNA from 1 species
AGAGGGAAGAAACAACAGCCGCCAUCUUGUUUGUGUGCUAGGCUGGGGGGGAGAGAGGGCGAGAGAGAGCGGGCGAGAGUGGGCAAGCAGGACGCCGGGCUGAGUGCUAACUGCGGGAGCCAGAGAGUGCGGAGGGGAGUCGGGUCGGAGAGAGGCGGCAGGGGCCGAGACAGUGGCAGGGGGCCCGGGGCGCACGGGCUGAGGCGACCCCCAGCCCCCUCCCGUCCGCACACACCCCCACCGCGGUCCAGCAGCCGGGCCGGCGUCGACGCCUAGGGGGGACCAUUACAUAACCCCGCGCCCCGCGGCGUCUUCUCCCGCCGCCGCGGG